rnacentral:ncRNA from 1 species
ACGGAAGCCCGGCGAGGCCAAGGUCGAUCCGGAAGAGAAGGUUCGGUCUCCCGACCCGGGCGCCCAGCACGGUACUCGGUACCCACGCGGAGUCAUAGCCGCGAUAAUGGCAGAAGUGUUGCGGGCCUGCGUAAUUGCGAAAUAUGGACGGUGUCGGCAGCCCUUUGGGUGGGGCAGUCAGCCGGAGAUGUCGCAAGAUCGCCGAGGCCACCCACGCAGCCUAGAGAUGCACGCUUGGUAACCGAGUUCCGUGCUAGCGGGCGGCGAACCGAAUUGCUCGGGACGCCGCCCGCUUCGCAUG